AACUGCUCUACCAAUGUCUAUUAAUGUCCUUGGAUCUGUUGUGGAAACAACACGAGAAACAUGUGGACAAGUUUUCGACACCUAUCCUGUAAAACAAUCGAAAUUAUUGAACAUCUUCCGUCGUAGAAAAUUUCAAGAACCAUAGGAGAUAUCAGAAGGAAACCAGAUGGAACAUCAUGUUUGAGACCAUGGUGCCCAAAGGAAGUGAAAGGAUACCUGGAGGAAGUUGUUUGUCCUGAAGGAUGUGUCUCUCCAGUCCAUUCAGGAUGGUGACUACAACAUUCCCCAGCCAAGCAGGAGACACCGUUGAUGAGGGAAAGUACCCCAUCACUGUCUUUAUAAGCAGCUUUGGUGUCGCCAAUGGUAAACAUCCUCUCAGAUAAGCUAAUGCAUGGCAAGAGGCAAGCACUCAGCACCCUUGCCACCAGGAAGAUUAUGUAUUUCAUCCCAAAUGGACGCUGUCUGAUGUUCAUCAGAAUUUGUGUGGAAAGCAACCGAGAAAGCAACAUUCGUUCCUCAAAGAUACUGAGCUCACCUUGACAGCAUUAACUUGCACUUCUCCUCUGAUGUUCUGGAAUACUCUCAUGAUGAAGAAAGCAAAAGAGAAAGUGUAAGGGGGAGAGCAGUAGAGGAAAAGGGAGAGAGAAUACUAAGCAGGCUCCAUCCUAAGCAUGGAGUCCAACCUAGGAUAAUCUGAUGACCUGAGGUAUGAACUCUGAGAUGAAACCAGGAGGCAGUCACAUACCUGAAUGAACCAAACCUGUGCCCCUGGAAUAAGUUUUCUUGAAUCAACUAAAGGAAUGAAUUUCCUGGUUACUUUCAAUCGACUCCUUUGCUGGUUGUAUUUUGGUUUUUCCUCAAGCGUGAAGUAGUUUGGUCCAGUUUUGUAUCCACAGAGAUCCAUAAACAUUUUUCACCUAAGGUUUUUGAUUGUAGACACUGGAAAACUCGUUACCAUAGAAAGAGCUGUGGACAUCUUGCUGUCAGAAGACCAAGUGGAAAUUUUGAAACUUGACACGCACUAUCCAGGAUGAAAAUUCACUGGAUAGGCUCAGCAAUCUGAUGAAGAAACAAAGUAGACAGUGGACGUGUAAACAGAACAAGAGAAAUCGUACUAUCAUGAGAGGAGUGCGAAAAGACUGAACAAAAAUUGAUAGGAACUUAAACAUGCAUGCCUAGGAUACAUCAAAAGUGCUAAGUUCCACAGCAUGGAGUUCCUGUAGGAAAGCAGUUGGUGGGGAUCCCUGGGUGGCGCAGCGGUUUAGCGCCUGCCUUUGGCCCAGGGCGCGAUCCUGGAGACCCGGGAUCGAAUCCCGCGUCGGGCUCCCGGUGCAUGGAGCCUGCUUCUCCCUCUGCCUAUGUCACUGCCUCUCUCUCUCUGUGUGUGUGUGACUAUCAUAAAUAAAUAAAAAUUAAAAAAAAAACAGUUGGUGUAGAAGAAGGUAUGGGGGCAAAAUGGCUGAAAAUUUCACAAAUAUGUGACUCAGAUCUACAAAGCUCUGAAAACCCUCCUCCUGACACAUUGUAACCAAUCUGUUGGCAAAGAGGAAGAAAAACCUUGAAAGCAGAGGAAAAGGACACGUUCAACCUAACAGAAUACGAAUUCCAAGGCCCGUGACUUCUCAGAAAACAGAGGUCAGAAGACACUGCAAUGGUGACACAAAGUAUAGAAGGAAAACACCUCUGAGCCUAGGAUGUUAUGUUCAGGAAAGAUAGCUUUAAAGAAUGAAGGCAAAAGGUGAAUGAAAAUGAAAACAAGACAAAGUCGGCAAACAGGUGGUAAACAACUGGAAGAAUCAGUCAUUGAGCCUGAUUUAUUUAUUUUCA